CGGGGCGUAGCGCAGCUUGGAUAGCGCACUUGGCUUGGGACCAAGGGGUCGGGGGUUCAAAUCCCUCCGCCCCGACCA
rnacentral:tRNA from 1 species